AGAGAGAGAGAGAGAGAGAGAGAGAGAGAGAGAGAGAGAGAGAGAGAGAGAGAGAGAGAGACGGUGGAAAGAAGAGGAUGAAGAGUGAUUGAAACCUCAAUUCAGUAGGUAAUUUUCAGUUCCUUUUGCUUAAUUUCGUGUAUGCUCUGCAUAAUGAUAAUCAGUUGCUGGACAGAUUCGUACAGCUCUGAGUUUGUCUAUUUUCUCACCCUUUUAUGUCGAAAUUUACUUGGGUUUCUUCAUGAAAUCUGAACUACAUUUGAUGCUUGUUCUUUUGGCUUUGGAAUCACUUGAAAAGGUUAAGAACUCAAUUUACUGUGAAUUUUCGAAUGUUGGUCUGAUCCUGAGGAUCUGUUUUGAGACAGAUUUGUGAAUUUGUUGUGUUUGCCUAUUUUUAUCAUCAACACGCCGACCAUGUUAUUUUUUGGUAAUUUUACUGGAGAUGCCUCUGUGAGUGUAGUAUAUGCUGUAAAAAUUUCAGAAUUUUCUGAAUAGUAUGGAAAAAGAUAAAAAUCAUGAACCGAACUGGUGUCUGAUUCGCGUCUGUGCAGACAGCACAGACACGUGUUGGAAAAACGGGCAUAACUUCUUGCUCUGGUAUCGGUUUUACGCACCGUUUCUUGAUUCCGAAACUAGACUCGUAUAUCUUUCUGAAUCUAUAAAGAUUGUGCCUUAGUUUGGUCUGAGCAAAAUCAGUUUUGGUUCCGAAGUUUAUUGUUAGUGAUUCUGAAAUUCUGGGCAGGUUUUGUAGCUGUGUUCUUCAUCAAUUUUGUCAUAGUUAAAUAUACUUGCUGACUAUGGGUUCUCAUGAGUCUUAAACCUUGAUCAGUUGGUGUUGUUUUGGCGUUGGAAAUAUUAGAAAAGAUUAAGUGUGUGAUUUUUAAUGAGCAUUCGAUCGCAGACUGUUCUGCUGGGUCUGUAGUUUCUGUUUUAGAUGUGUAAUUUCAAUUGAGCAUAUCUUAGUCAUUCGGAGUCCAAUUUGAGCAAAUUUUAUAUCUAGAUUGAUGUACUAGAGGACUUCUUGCUAGUGGUGGUGGUCUUGUAGUAUUCUUUGAAACCUAUAGAGAAGUAUGGCCAAAAUACGAUAGACUGUCUGGCUGAAUUUUGGUGUUUCCGACACAUAAUUCGUUUGGUGGUUCUUCUAUAUAGUGUGUUUGUGAAAUUCUUGGUUUUGGGUACGAAUUGGUAAAUUUACUUUUGUUCGGCAAUUGCUAUAUAGUUGAAUUGAUGCAGAACAUUGUUAAUGUAUUUGUUAAAGCCUUUCAAGUAUUUCUAUACUAAAAUGUUUGGCUUGUGGAUAGGUGACGAGUCGGUGAGUCAAGGAGCACCGAAAUCAUAGUUGUACUUUCUUUUGGAGUACAAGUUUUGCAGGCGUUGUAGAUAUCCACUGCUGAUCGUCGUGGGGUUGUACGCUCGCUUAGGGUAGCAUGUCGGAAAGGCUGGACUAGUUUGGCAAAAUUUUGUAAAUAGGGAUGUAGUGCAGCCUAUGUUUAUAUUUGGUUUAUUGAAUAGUUUAAUGCUUUCUUAAGACUUCCGCUGUGUUUGUAAGAACGUUAAGUUUUGCGUUAUCAAUAAAAUGGCUGUUGGUUAA